rnacentral:rRNA from 1 species
GGGGAUAACAGUUAGAAAUGACUGCUAACACCGCAUAAGCGCACAGGGCCGCAUGGCCCGGUGUGAAAAACUCCGGUGGUAUGGGAUGGGCCCGCGUCUGAUUAGCCAGUUGGCGGGGUAACGGCCCACCAAAGCGACGAUCAGUAGCCGACCUGAGAGGGUGACCGGCCACAUUGGGACUGAGACACGGCCCAAACUCCUACGGGAGGCAGCAGUGGGGAAUAUUGCACAAUGGGGGGAACCCUGAUGCAGCGACGCCGCGUGAGCGAAGAAGUAUCUCGGUAUGUAAAGCUCUAUCAGCAGGGAAGAAAAAUGACGGUACCUGACUAAGAAGCCCCGGCUAACUACGUGCCAGCAGCCGCGGUAAUACGUAGGGGGCAAGCGUUAUCCGGAUUUACUGGGUGUAAAGGGAGCGCAGGCGGCGCGGCAAGUCUGAUGUGAAAGCCCGGGGCUCAACCCCGGGACUGCAUUGGAAACUGUCGCGCUCGAGUGUCGGAGGGGUAAGUGGAAUUCCUAGUGUAGCGGUGAAAUGCGUAGAUAUUAGGAGGAACACCAGUGGCGAAGGCGGCUUACUGGACGACAACUGACGCUGAGGCUCGAAAGCGUGGGGAGUAAACAGGAUUAGAUACCCUGGUAGUCCACGCCGUAAACGAUGAA